AUUCAACUGAAAGGAACGCGAAUUCCAUUGCACGUAAGAUUAUCCUGAGACUAUUAGAAAAGGGAAUUUCGGAUGCAGAAUGGCUGUUAAGCCUUAUUUAAGGGAAACAAAAGUUUUGCAACGAUUACCCACGUUGACACAAGAGAGGCAUAAUCUUUACUGCUUAACGUCUUUUUCGGUUGAAGU
rnacentral:other from 1 species